UGCUUUUCAUUUAUGUCCAUGCAGAUCUGUGGUCAGAGCCCAGUGGAACUUGGACUUCCCCUAAAACUGUGUGCGAAGUUGCUGUGGAGUCUGCCCUACCCCUAAGUUUAUAUAAGGUAUGYAGCUGGGUAUGAGGAAGGUGGGACUGCCCUCCCCAUAUAGGAGCACUCCUGUGAUCUGACUGAGCAAUCAUUUGUUGACUCAAGUUUGUGUGGUCUUCUGUUCUAGUUCAUGAAGAAGGGAAUUGUCAUGGAUCAAACGAGCCAAAAUUAUGGAUCCUCUGAACAGACUCAGCUUAAAAAAGGAAGACAAUGUCUCUGUGGAGAAUGCCAGCAUAUUAUAGUGUCCAUGGCAUUCUGGCUGAAGCUUAGAGCAAAAGUCAAGAAAGUCCAUCAGCACAUGUGGAGUUUCUGUUGCUGUGUUUAUUAGAGAGAGGGGGAGAGAGAAAAACAGAAGGAGA
rnacentral:lncRNA from 1 species